CCUACGGGGGGCAGCAGUGAGGAAUAUUGGUCAAUGGACGAGAGUCUGAACCAGCCAAGUAGCGUGAAGGAUGACUGCCCUCUGGGUUGUAAACUUCUUUUAUAUGGGAAUAAAAUGUUCCACGUGUGGGAUUUUGUAUGUACCAUAUGAAUAAGGAUCGGCUAACUUCGUGCCAGCAGCCGCGGUAAUACGGAGGAUCCGAGCGUUAUCCGGAUUUAUUGGGUUUAAAGGGAGCGUAGGUGGAUUGUUAAGUCAGUUGUGAAAGUUUGCGGCUCAACCGUAGAAUUGCAGUUGAAACUGGCAGUCUUGAGUACAGUAGAGGUGGGCGGAAUUCGUGGUGUAGCGGUGAAAUGCUUAGAUAUCACGAAGAACUCCGAUUGCGAAGGCAGUUCACUGGACUGCAACUGACACUGAGGCUCGAAAGUGUGGGUAUCAAACAGGAUUAGAUACCCUAGUAGUC
rnacentral:rRNA from 1 species